GAUGAACGCUGGCGGCGUGCCUAAUACAUGCAAGUCGAGCGAACGGACGAGAAGCUUGCUUCUCUGAUGUUAGCGGCGGACGGGUGAGUAACACGUGGAUAACCUACCUAUAAGACUGGGAUAACUUCGGGAAACCGGAGCUAAUACCGGAUAAUAUUUUGAACCGCAUGGUUCAAAAGUGAAAGACGGUCUUGCUGUCACUUAUAGAUGGAUCCGCGCUGCAUUAGCUAGUUGGUAAGGUAACGGCUUACCAAGGCAACGAUGCAUAGCCGACCUGAGAGGGUGAUCGGCCACACUGGAACUGAGACACGGUCCAGACUCCUACGGAAGGCAGCAGUAGGGAAUCUUCCGCAAUGGGCGAAAGCCUGACGGAGCAACGCCGCGGGAGUGAUGAAGGUCUUCGGAUCGUAAAACUCUGUUAUUAGGGAAGAACAUAUGUGUAAGUAACUGUGCACAUCUUGACGGUACCUAAUCAGAAAGCCACGGCUAACUACGU
rnacentral:rRNA from 1 species